rnacentral:rRNA from 1 species
CCUACGGGAGGCAGCAGUGGGGAAUAUUGCGCAAUGGGCGAAAGCCUGACGCAGCGACGCCGCGUGAGGGAUGAAGGUCUUCGGAUCGUAAACCUCUGUCAGCAGGGAAGAACGGUCACUGUGCUAAUCAGCAGUGAAUUGACGGUACCUGCAAAGGAAGCACCGGCUAACUCCGUGCCAGCAGCCGCGGUAAUACGGAGGGUGCGAGCUGUAAUCGGAAUUACUGGGCGUAAAGCGCUCGUAGGCGGUAUGUCAAGUCAAGGGGGAAAUCCCCGCGCUCAACGUGGGAACUGCCUUUGAAACUGGCAAACUGGAGUGUGUGAGAGGAUAGUGGAAUUCCAGGUGUAGGAGUGAAAUCCGUAGAUAUCUGGAGGAACAUCAGUGGCGAAGGCGACUAUCUGGCACAUAACUGACGCUGAGGAGCGAAAGCGUGGGUAGCAAACAGGAUUAGAUACCCCUGUAGUC